GUUUAAAGCGACGGCUAUAGUUCCUAAACUCUAUUGUUCUAGUUUGGGGGGAGAGUUCGUCUCCUGGCAAGAACCUAGAGCCUACUAUUUCAUUCCAAGAAAAAAAAAUCAAUCUUCUCUUGUGCAAAGUAAGCUAAACCUCAUCAUCCAGACUUUAAUUGGAUUAUGAAGAGGAGGAGGAGAUUGUUGGAGAAGAUGGAGAACUAAAGCCGGGUAUGCAAAGAGUUCAAUUGGCUUGUAAAGGAAUGGAGGAAACUAUUAGAGAUGAUGAAGACAUGUUUGGAACUGAUUUUGAUUGA
rnacentral:lncRNA from 1 species